rnacentral:lncRNA from 1 species
UGUGUGUGUGUGUGUGUGUGUGUGUGUGUGUGUGUGUGUGUGUGUGUGUAUGUGUGUGUGUGUGUAUGUGUGUGUGUAUGUGUGUGUGUGUGUGUGUGUGUGUGUGUGUGUGUGUGUGUGUGUGUGUAUGUGUAGGUUCACUUCAACAUUGUCACCUCAGCCACCACCCAACCCUCUACACCUUCAAUUCGUGUGUGUGUGUGUGUGUGUGUGUGUGAGUGUGUGUGAGUGUGGUGUAUGUAUGUGACAUGGAGGAAUGUGUGUAUGCUGUGUGUGUAUGUGGAGGUAUAUAUAGUGUGUGGGGUGUGUGUGUAUGCAUGUGUGUAGAUGGUAUGUGGCAUGCACCCACACCUGUGUGCAUGUGUACAGAGGUCAGAGGAGGAUGUUACGUGUCCUGUUUACCUCGUUCUGCCUUAUUUCCUUGCUGGUCUUUUGCUGAACCUGGAACUACAUUGGCAGCCAGCAAAAUCUAGUGAGCGUUCUGUCUCCUCACCAAGCUCUGGAGUUAAAGGCGCACAUUUGGCUAUACCUACCUUUUGUUUUUGGGUGUUGGGUAUUCAAACUAGCACUCCUACCUAGUCAACAUCUUCCUAGACUGACAACCCCUUCUAGCUCAUCACCCUAGCUGUCUAUUACCCCAGCUGUCCAUCACCCCAGCUGUCUAUCACCCUAGCUGUCCAUCACCUCAGCUGUCCAUCACCCCAGCUGUUCAUGACUCCAGCUGUCUAUGACCCCAGCUAUCCAUCACCUCAGCUGUCUAUCACCCCAGCUGUCUAUCACCCCAGCUGUCUAUCACCCCAGCUAUCCAUCACUCCAACUGUCCAUGCCACAGCUGUCCAUCACCCCAGCUGUCUAUCACCCCAGCUAUCUAUUACUCCAGCUAUCCAUCACCCCAACUGUCCAUCACCCCAGCUGUACAGCACCCCAGCUGUACAAGCUGUACAGCACCCCAGCUAUCCAGCACCCCAGCUGUCAUCUCUUCCAUUGUCCACAGUCUCAUUCCUUCCUCUGUCACCUUCCAUAAAAUACCAUUGCUCUGACACAUCCUAAGGUCACAUAGCAAUGGUGAUAACAGAUAUUGACUUAGAGCCCUGCUUUCUCCUAAAUAACUUUUACAGAGACACAGAAGAGAGGGUGCUGGCAAAGCUUGC